UGCCUGCCAGUGACCAUGUGUUCAACGGCCGCGGUAUUCUGACCGCGCGAAGGUAGCGUAAUCACUUGUUUUUUAAAUAAAGACUAGUAUGAACGGCCACACGAGGACCUAACUGUCUCCUUUGUCCAAUCAGUGAAACUGAUCUCCUCGUGCAGAAGCGAGGAUUUUACCAUAAGACGAGAAGACCCUAUGGAGCUUUAAACUUUUAUUAAAUAUUUUCUUUACCCCUCUAAGGAACUAACAACCAAUCUAAUUUACUUAAUAAAAGUUUUAGGUUGGGGCGACCAUGGAGAACAAAUAAUCCUCCCUGAUGACACCAAACCAAGAGCUACAGCUCUAAGUAUUAAGACACUUAACUUCUAUUGACCCAUUUUGUGAUCAACGAACCAAGUUACCCUAGGGAUAACAGCGCAAUCCAUUUCAAGAGUCCCUAUCGACAAAUGGGUUUACGACCUCGAUGUUGGAUCAGGGCAUCCCAGUGGUGCAACCGCUACUAAAGGUUCGUUUGUUCAACGAUUAAAGCCCUACGUGAUCG
rnacentral:rRNA from 1 species